GGCAGAGAGUGAGAAGUGAUGACGGUGAUCGUUGUCGCCGCGUCUUCUGUGGAACCCAAGCAGUGCCGAAGGAAGUCGCAAGGCUCUUCCCCGACCUUUUGCUCCUCUCCCUGCGCGAGAGAUCUAGGCUUACAUUGCUGUUAAGCCUCCAACAGCGGCAGCCAGAUGGUGCAGUGUUUUUGAAACAGGCUCUGAUAAAUCCACAAAGAGGCCACUUGAGGUUGCAUCAAGUAACCAAUGAGAACUAACCAGGACAACUACCAACAGAAAUGCCCUUUUGCCAACUGACAAAUGGUGCUAUUUAGUGUAGUCGUUUUGUCAAACUUCUCAGGUAAAGAAGUGUGGACAAAGGGUAUACUGUGGAACGUACUGUGACACACUGUGAUACACUACAGCUUCGUUUAUUUUUAUUUUUUAUUUUCUUUGGGGUGGAGGUUGCAAGGGUGGAGAUCAGGAGACAGGGCAAUGAAUGGAAUUGGGGUAUCUGAUGUAAAAUUCACAAAGAGUCAAUAAAAAGUUAAAAAAAA
rnacentral:lncRNA from 1 species